UCGAGGGGCAGCACAGGUAGCAUACCGGGUGGCGACCGGCGCACGGGUGAGUAACGCGUAUGCAACUUACCUAUCAGAGGGGGAUAACCCGGCGAAAGUCGGACUAAUACCGCAUGAAGCAGGGGUCCCGCAUGGGGAUAUUUGCUAAAGAUUCAUCGCUGAUAGAUAGGCAUGCGUUCCAUUAGGCAGUUGGCGGGGUAACGGCCCACCAAACCGACGAUGGAUAGGGGUUCUGAGAGGAAGGUCCCCCACAUUGGUACUGAGACACGGACCAAACUCCUACGGGAGGCAGCAGUGAGGAAUAUUGGUCAAUGGGCGUAAGCCUGAACCAGCCAAGUCGCGUGAGGGAUGAAGGUUCUAUGGAUCGUAAACCUCUUUUAUAAGGGAAUAAAGUGCGGGACGUGUCCCGUUUUGUAUGUACCUUAUGAAUAAGGAUCGGCUAACUCCGUGCCAGCAGCCGCGGUAAUACGGAGGAUCCGAGCGUUAUCCGGAUUUAUUGGGUUUAAAGGGUGCGUAGGCGGCCUUUUAAGUCAGCGGUGAAAGUCUGUGGCUCAACCAUAGAAUUGCCGUUGAAACUGGGGGGCUUGAGUAUGUUUGAGGCAGGCGGAACGCGUGGUGUAGCGGUGAAAUGCAU
rnacentral:rRNA from 1 species